GAUGAACGCUGGCGGCGUGCCUAAUACAUGCAAGUCGAGCGAACAGACGAGGAGCUUGCUCCUCUAACGUUAGCGGCGGACGGGUGAGUAACACGUGGAUAACCUACCUAUAAGACUGGGAUAACUUCGGGAAACCGGAGCUAAUACCGGAUAAUAUAUUGAACCGCAUGGUUCAAUAGUGAAAGACGGUUUUGCUGUCACUUAUAGAUGGAUCCGCGCCGCAUUAGCUAGUUGGUAAGGUAACAGCUUACCAAGGCAACGAUGCGUAGCCGACCUGAGAGGGUGAUCGGCCACACUGGAACUGAGACACGGUCCAGACUCCUACGGGAGGCAGCAGUAGGGAAUCUUCCGCAAUGGGCGAAAGCCUGACGGAGCAACGCCGCGUGAGUGAUGAAGGUCUUCGGAUCGUAAAACUCUGUUAUUAGGGAAGAACAAAUGUGUAAGUAGCUAUGCACGUCUUGACGGUACCUAAUCAGAAAGCCACGGCUAACUACGUG
rnacentral:rRNA from 1 species